UACGUAGGUGGCAAGCGUUGUUCGGAUUUACUGGGCGUAAAGGGCGCGUAGGCGGUCAGCACAAGUCAGUUGUGAAAUCUCCGGGCUUAACUCGGAAAGGUCAACUGAUACUGUGCGACUAGAGUGCAGAAGGGGCAACUGGAAUUCUCGGUGUAGCGGUGAAAUGCGUAGAUAUCGAGAGGAACACCUGCGGCGAAGGCGGGUUGCUGGGCUGACACUGACGCUGAUGCGCGAAAGCCAGGGGAGCGAACAGG
rnacentral:rRNA from 1 species